rnacentral:rRNA from 1 species
GACAGAGGUGCCAAGCGUUAGGCGGAAUCACUGGGCUUAAAGCGUGUGUAGGUGGAUGCCUAAGUACCUUGUGAAAUCCCACGGCUCAACCGUGGAACUGCUGGGUAUACUGGCGAUCUUGAGCCACCUAGGGGCGAGCGGAACAAGCGGUGGAGCGGUGAAAUGCGUAGAUAUCGCUUGGAACGCCAAUGGUGAAAACAGCUCGCUGGGGGUGUGGCUGACGCUGAGACACGAAAGCCAGGGGAGCGAACGGG